rnacentral:pre_miRNA from 1 species
UUCGCAGUAUAAUACUGCGAAUUACUUUAACGGAAAGUUAGCCGUUGAAGUAAUUCGCAGUAUUAUACUGCGAA